CAGACAGCAGAUCAGACAUGCAGCACCGUGGAUGUGAAACAAUGAUUUCCCUCUGUAUGGUUGUGAUGGGCCUGGCAACAAUGGUUCUGACAAAAGGAUCCUUUGAAUGCAAUUUCUCUGAACCCAAUGAAUCUCAUCUGUGUCUUGGAGAAGAAGGACAACCAUUGAUAUUCCAUCUGUCAAAUGUGAAACAGUCU